rnacentral:rRNA from 1 species
GUGAGGAAUUUUCCGCAAUGGGCGAAAGCCUGACGGAGCAAUGCCGCGUGAAUGAUGAAGGCCUAUGGGUUGUAAACUUCUUUUCUCAGAAAAGAAUUAUGACGGUAUCUGAGGAAUAAGCAUCGGCUAACUCUGUGCCAGCAGCCGCGGUAAGACAGAGGAUGCAAGCGUUAUCCGGAAUGAUUGGGCGUAAAGCGUCUGUAGGUUGUUUAAAAAGUAUUCUGUCAAAGAUUAGGGCUUAACCCUAGAUAGGCAGAAUAAACUUUUAAGCUAGAGUUUGAUAGAGGCAGAGGGAAUUCCCGGUGGAGCGGUGAAAUGCGUAGAUAUCGGGAGGAACACCAAAGGCGAAGGCACUCUGCUGGGCCAAUACUAACACUGAGAGACGAAAGCGAGGGGAGCAAAUGGGAUUAGAUACCCGUGUAGUCC